rnacentral:rRNA from 1 species
GACGAACGCUGGCGGCGUGCCUAAUACAUGCAAGUAGAACGCUGAAGCGAGGAGCUUGCUCUUCUUGGAUGAGUUGCGAACGGGUGAGUAACGCGUAGGUAACCUGCCUUGUAGCGGGGGAUAACUAUUGGAAACGAUAGCUAAUACCGCAUAACAAUGGAUGACACAUGUCAUUUAUUUGAAAGGGGCAAUUGCUCCACUACAAGAUGGACCUGCGUUGUAUUAGCUAGUAGGUGAGGUAACGGCUCACCUAGGCGACGAUACAUAGCCGACCUGAGAGGGUGAUCGGCCACACUGGGACUGAGACACGGUCCAGACUCCUACGGGAGGCAGCAGUAGGGAAUCUUCGGCAAUGGGGGCAACCCUGACCGAGCAACGCCGCGUGAGUGAAGAAGGUUUUCGGAUCGUAAAGCUCGGUUGUAAGUCAAGAACGAGUGUGAGAGUGGAAAGUUCACACUGUGACGGUAGCUUACCAGAAAGGGACGGCUAACUACGUG